rnacentral:rRNA from 1 species
CCUACGGGAGGCUGCAGUGGGGAAUAUUGGACAAUGGGGGCAACCCUGAUCCAGCCAUGCCGCGUGUGUGAAGAAGGCCCUCGGGUUGUAAAGCACUUUCAGUGAGGAAGAACGCCUGGUGGUUAAUACCCAUCAGGAAAGACAUCACUCACAGAAGAAGCACCGGCUAACUCCGUGCCAGCAGCCGCGGUAAUACGGAGGGUGCGAGCGUUAAUCGGAAUUACUGGGCGUAAAGCGCGCGUAGGUGGCUUGAUAAGCCGGUUGUGAAAGCCCCGGGCUCAACCUGGGAACGGCAUCCGGAACUGUCAAGCUAGAGUGCAGGAGAGGAAGGUAGAAUUCCCGGUGUAGCGGUGAAAUGCGUAGAGAUCGGGAGGAAUACCAGUGGCGAAGGCGGCCUUCUGGACUGACACUGACACUGAGGUGCGAAAGCGUGGGUAGCAAACAGGAUUAGAUACCCUCGUAGUC